AAUAUCAGUCAUGCAUAGCAUAUCAAUAAGCGGAGGAAAAGAAACUAACAAGGAUUCCCUUAGUAACGGCGAGUGAAGCGGGAAGAGCUCAAAUUUGAAAUCUUCGAAGGUUUUACCUUGACGAAUUGUAGUUUAAAGAAGUGUUUUCUGUUGAAGUUUUGGUAAAAGUUCUUUGGAAUAGGACAUCAUAGAGGGUGAGAAUCCCGUAUUUGACCAUUACUUUCAGCUUUGUGAUACACUUUCAAAGAGUCGGAUUGUUUGGGAAUGCAGUCCAAAAUGGGUGGUAAAUUUCAUCUAAAGCUAAAUAUUGGCGAGAGACCGAUAGCGAACAAGUACCGUGAGGGAAAGAUGAAAAGAACUUUGAAAAGAGAGUUAAACAGUACGUGAAAUUGUCAAAAGGGAAGCGUUUGACAUCCAGUGUUGUUUUCUCGAAAAUCAAUUAAAAAGAGUUGGAUUUUGUGUUGUAUUGACUUUAUCAGCUUUCUUCACUCUUUUCCAGCUUUUUUUAAUGCACUUUUCGUUUAACAAGUCAACAUCAGUUUCUUUUGUUGUAAAAAGGUCAUUGGAAGGUGGCUUUCUCUUCGGAGAAAGUGUUUAUAGCCUUCGACUCAUGCAAUCGGAGAGACUGAGGUCUGCAGCGUAGAUCCUUCGGGGUUAGAUACAUUUGUGCUAAGUUAUAGCUUUUCAUAGACAACUUGUUGACUAUGUUUAGUCUUGUAGCUUACUCGCUUAUGCUAUUUUACCUACGCUUAGGAUGUUGAACUCUAUCACACACAG
rnacentral:rRNA from 1 species